UAAGAAUUCUGUCACUUCCCUCUGAACAGUGCUGAUUUUUGCGGUUAUUGUUUUAGCAGUUUAUUUCAGGACCAGGCAACUCCGUUAAAGUGAGGAAAGGCAGCACAGCCAACAGUAAACUCAACAGCAAAGGGUCUGAACUCUGAAAGGUGAGAAAACUGAAGCAAUACGGGUUAAGUAACUUUUUGGAUAACUUGCCUCUGCAUGGCUGGAUGAGCGGUUUGGAGGUCAGCACCUGGGAUCUGAACCCGUGAACCCCAGGCUGCCAAAGAGGAGAGCAUGAAUUUAAACCACUGUAUUACCGGACCAGCCCGAAGUACAAUAUGUUUUAAAAGAACCACGAUAUGACCUUAUAUUGAACUUUAAAAAUAUCUGACGUUGUCUUUUCUAUGCCUAACAGAAAUUUUACCAUGAAUAAAAUAAUGACAUUCAUGGAAUGAGAGUUAACGUUUUUUGAGUGCUGCUCCUGUGCCAAGGAUGAAACUAGACACAUCAAUGCUCCUGUGCGUCCGCCCACAGCCUGCUUGUCUUCCCCAUCCACACCUCUGUGUCAGACAGUGACAUUAUCAUUUUUUACUGAAUCCAGCUUUCGUUUGCCUGCUUCUGAGAUUUUGCUAAGGCUUUUCAUCUUUUUGGUAUGGAUUCAACUUGUCGUACUUGAAUCUACUUUUAGGAUUUCACUAAGGUUGGAUUCCCCAGGUGUAGCAUCUGAAACAGGUCCGUGAGAUAUGUUGGGGGAGUGCUCUCAGGAGAAAGAGAAUGGAGAAGCAGCAUCAAGCAAAGAAAGCAGCUAAGCAAGGAUGUGCUGUCCACUAGAGCUUAGCUUUAAUUGCCCUACCCUUUGGCUGGCACUUCUGUGAGUCUUGGUGGCUUUUCAUGGCGGAUGAUCCAAACCAUCAAGUCAAAGGAGACUUAAGUCCAUUUUUAUGAUGCCCUUGUUAGUCCUCGGAUGCUUU
rnacentral:lncRNA from 1 species